rnacentral:rRNA from 1 species
GCCUCCCUCCGCGCCAUCAGACUCCUACGGGGCAGCAGUAAGGAAUAUUGGUCAAUGGACGCAAGUCUGAACCAGCCAUGCCGCGUGAAGGAUGAAGGCCUUCUGGGUUGUAAACUUCUUUUACCUGGGAAGAACCCUUAUUCUAUGAGGUUGACGGUACCAGAGGAAUAAGCACCGGCUAACUCCGUGCCAGCAGCCGCGGUAAUAC